ensembl:lncRNA
AUGGAAGAAAGGGAACAGAUCUCAGAUUUUUCUGAUGUAGCUUUCAUACAGCGAAGGGAUCCGGUGGCAAAUUUGAUAGAUACUUUUAGCAAAUUGUACUUCGAUUCUGAGGAAGAAAAGGAAGGUAGAGUUGAGCCAUCAGACUAUAGAGUGAAACAGGAUGAUUUACCCUUACCCUUACCUCCUCCGCCUCAUGAUUUUCAAGAAGAGGAAUUACAAUUCGGCAGUGAUGAAAAAGUGCAACGAAUGAGUUGUAUUGAAGAGCACCUUGUGGAUCUGGAACACAGAAUCAGUGACUUUGUUACCUCAGAGGCUUUGAGUAUGAAACUAAAAGCUUAUGAAGACAGAAUGAAUUAUCAUCUUCAAAGAGAGAUAGAUCGAGUUCACCAACAGUGCUAUGCCAAAAUUGAUCAUCUAGCAAAGAGCAUGGUGGAUUGUUUGAAACGACGUGAUAAACAGCUGGAGAAGCAGUUCAAGGAUAUCCAACCGGUCACAUCAACUCCUGUUUAUUUCAGUCUUAAGGGAACCGCUAAGAGCUGGUGGAGAGCGGAGAAACAGUAUAUUCGAGAUUGGGAUUCAUUCAAAGAAAAAUUCCUGUUCUCAUUUUUGAAUGAAGACCACAAGGAAGUUGCUGCACAGAAAUUGGCAAAUUACCGACAGAGGGUCAACGAAUCGGUGAGAGACUUUGCUUUCAACUAUAGAGCGAUGGCACUAAAAAUUAACCCUUUGUUGCUUGAAGCCGAAUUAGUGCAGGCAACAUUAAGAAGCUGCAAUCCGUGGUUGGCGUCACUGUUGAGAGGAACGGUGAAAACCAUUGAUGAGCUGGUUCGUCUCUGUACCCAAAUAGAGAGGGACUGGACUGAGAAUAAGAGAAGGUGGAAUCAAGAGAAAAGUGAAGAACAGAAGAAGAGCUCUACUGGUGAGAAAAGUCAGUCUAAUCGCGUGAUGCUGAUUGAUCCUGCUGUUGGCUUUCAGUGUGAUAAUGUACUGCAAGCACCCUUGAUUUUAAAUCACUCAUUCUUCAAUGCUGUCAUUGAUACGGGAAGCACUUUUUCUUUAAUGCAGCAGAAAGUAUGGCAGAGACUAAAGAGAAAGGAUGAGCUCUUGACCAGAAGUGAUCAGACAUUCAUGCUUGCUAAUGGCCAGAGUCAAAAAACCCAAGGUAAAAUACUCUGGGAAUGUGAGAUGUACGGAUCAAAACAUGAGGUCACAUUCUAUGUGAUGAAGGAUGAGGAUUUGGCAGUACCUAUCAUCUUAGGUUUGAAUUUCCUUAAAGAAGCCAAGGUCACCAUCGAUUUUAAUACUUCACGUAUAUCUCUGCCUGAUACUAACUCUAGUCAUCCCAGUUUUAAUGAGACGAUCAAGCACCCUGCUGUACGAUUUUAUGCUGCCCAAGGAGAAGUUGAGUUGAUGUGCAAUGAGAAGUUGAAGUUAAUCGACCAGGUCGUGGAAAACUCUCAUGCUGCAUUCAAGGUAAAGAGUCAAUUGAAAGCUCUCCUGUAUGAUUGGCCUCCGGUAUGCACCACAAAUCUAGGACGUACAAGCCUGAUCAAGCAUGAGAUUAAAACUAUUGACGAACUUCCUAUAAGAAAGAGACCAUACAGAGUCUCGAAAGUCAAGAAUGAUUUUAUUGAAGAGCAAAUUAAGGAGUUACUUCAAUUAAAAUUGAUCAAACCUUCUACUUCUCCAUGGGCCUCCCCGGUGGUAGUCGUAGAUAAAAAAAGAUCUAGGGAUAAAAAAGGGAUCUAG